AUACAUGCGAUGAAGAGAAGAGUACAAUCAUGCAAUUCUUCAAAGAGAGCUCCAGUUGGUGGAAAGGAGUAGGAAUAAUGGUUGGAAGCAAGCCUCUGAGUGGCACAUCGGAUCCAUAUAGGUGAUGGUGUGACAGGUGCUCCUGUUAUCGAGCUAGGGUAUACGUAUGGACUUCAUACCGUACCUACAAAGGAUAAUAUGGUAACAUAUUGUCAAACUGGGGUGGCACCACGGCGCGCAGCAACUCGUCCUCAAG
rnacentral:ncRNA from 1 species